rnacentral:rRNA from 1 species
GAGUUUGAUCGUGGCUCAGAACGAACGCUGGCGGCAUGCCUAACACAUGCAAGUCGAACGGGAUCCUGGCUUCGGCCAGGUGAGAGUGGCGGACGGGUGAGUAACGCGUGGGAACCUGCCCAAUGGUCUGGGAUAACCGCGGGAAACUGCGGCUAAUACCGGAUAAGCCCGAGAGGGGAAAGAUUUAUCGCCGAUGGAGGGGCCCGCGUCCGAUUAGGUAGUUGGUGGGGUAACGGCUCACCAAGCCUGCGAUCGGUAGCUGGUCUGAGAGGAUGAUCAGCCACACUGGGACUGAGAUACGGCCCAGACUCCUACGGGAGGCAGCAGUGGGGAAUAUUGGACAAUGGGGGCAACCCUGAUCCAGCAAUGCCGCGUGAGUGAUGAAGGCCUUAGGGUUGUAAAGCUCUUUUGGC